GACGAACGCUGGCGGCGUGCUUAACACAUGCAAGUCGAACGGAAAGGCCCUGCUUUUGUGGGGUGCUCGAGUGGCGAACGGGUGAGUAACACGUGAGUAACCUGCCCUUGACUUUGGGAUAACUUCAGGAAACUGGGGCUAAUACCGGAUAGGAGCUCCUGCUGCAUGGUGGGGGUUGGAAAGUUUCGGCGGUUGGGGAUGGACUCGCGGCUUAUCAGCUUGUUGGUGGGGUAGUGGCUUACCAAGGCUUUGACGGGUAGCCGGCCUGAGAGGGUGACCGGCCACAUUGGGACUGAGGUACGGCCCAGACUCCUACGGGAGGGAGCAGUGGGGAAUAUUGCACAAUGGGCGGAAGCCUGAUGCAGCAACGCCGGGUGCGGGAUGACGGCCUUCGGGUUGGUAACCGCUUUCGCCUGUGACGAAGCGUGAGUGACGGUAAUGGGUAAAGAAGCACCGGCUAACUACGUG
rnacentral:rRNA from 1 species